rnacentral:rRNA from 1 species
AACGAACGCUGGCGGCAGGCUUAACACAUGCAAGUCGAACGCCCCGCAAGGGGAGUGGCAGACGGGUGAGUAACGCGUGGGAAUCUACCUAGUUCUACGGAACAACAGUUGGAAACGACUGCUAAUACCGUAUACGCCCUACGGGGGAAAGAUUUAUCGGAAUUAGAUGAGCCCGCGUAAGAUUAGCUAGUUGGUGGGGUAAUGGCCUACCAAGGCGACGAUCUUUAGCUGGUCUGAGAGGAUGAUCAGCCACACUGGGACUGAGACACGGCCCAGACUCCUACGGGAGGCAGCAGUGGGGAAUAUUGGACAAUGGGCGCAAGCCUGAUCCAGCCAUGCCGCGUGAGUGAUGAAGGCCUUAGGGUUGUAAAGCUCUUUCACCGAUGAAGAUAAUGACGGUAGUCGGAGAAGAAGCCCCGGCUAACUUCGUGCCAGCAGCCGCAGUAAAAC